GUUAGUAUAAAACAAGGGAAUAAAGUUAAACAAAGUUAAAUAUUAAAAAGUUAAAAAGAAAAAUAUUAAGCAUAAAGUGCACUAACGAACAAGUAACAGACAAGUGACAAAGUGACAAGUGACAAAGUGAUGAAUUGCAGUUAAAGUGACGUGUGCAGUGUGAAGGGGAGUGACCGGUGGAGUGUUAUAGUCAGUCAGUGGGGGACCGGCUCUGUUGAUGAGCCCGACUGCCGACGGGAAGAAACUCUAAACUAAACAAAAAAUUUAUGAAAUAAAUUCCCUUAAUUGUAAAUCAUAUUUUUUGACGUUGUCAUGGUGACGUGUCUGUUGUGUGUCUGCUGUUUGUUUGCGUGUCUGCUGUUUGUUUGCGUGUCUGUUGUUUGUUUGCGUGUCUGUUGUUUGUUUGCGUGUCUGUUGUUUGUCUGCGUGUCUGCUGUUUGUCUGCGUGUCUGUUGUGUGUCUGCUGUUUGUUUGCGUCUCGUUGUAUUUAAGUUACACAGCACGUGUGGCCCCUGUUGUUUGCGCGUCGCCAUGUGUCCGUCAUCUGAACGGCAGGUCACGUGAUCUGUAGCACCUGAAAAGACCGUGAAAGCAACACAGAUGGAAGAGCUCAAUUGUUUUUCAUUUUAAUAUAUUUACAAAAAAAUCACACAUAAAAAUGUUUAUUUAUUUAAUAAACAUGUAUUUGUAUUUUUACUGCUUAUUCUUAUAAUGAUAUAUGCAACAUGUGUGUUGUUCCCACUGUCCAGACGUUACAAACAAUGAAAUACAGAAUGAGCAGUGCUUUUACCACUGCGGACCACCGUGCCAGUGUUGUGGAUCCAAAUACAUUUUCUGACGGCUACAAAACGUGCAGACUGGUGGAAAAUGCUCAAAUAGGAUGCACUGGAGUAGGGAAAAGAGGAGAACUCCGGGGGAUGAACAGCGGCCCCCCUCACCGGGUUUCUGCAGCCAGAUUGAAGUCACAGACUAAUCAUUUUUGGAGGAAAAGAAAACAUUAAAAAUAUUUGAUACAGUUGAGACACGAGUCGUUUCUUUGUUUUACACGCAGACAUUAGUUCAUGUAAUAAUGUUGACAAUCAGAUUUAAUACAGUGGUCAAUGUAUAAUUAUGAAUAGACAUGUAACACCGCCCCCUGCUGGCAGGGAAGGGACACUGCCACUGAAGACUCGAUCAAUGUUGUACAAU
ensembl:lncRNA